rnacentral:lncRNA from 1 species
UUUGUUAUCUUAAAAUGGCAGAAUGCAUUUCAUUUGGAUCUUAGUUGGUAGUAAGCUUUUAGAUAAUUGCUUAUCUAAUCUCUGUAGUUUAAUGGACUUGACUCUCUUUGCUGUAUUUUCUAAGCAUUGAAAAUUCUCUUCCCCCCUUUAAAAAACUCAGCAAAUGUUUGUAACUGGAUAUUCCUUGUUUCACAUGUUUACUGUGUAACACUACAUUUUUAAUAUUAGUAAAUACUAUAUUUCAGUCGUCAUUUAUAAGUACAUUCCUGAGGUAUAUUUGCCAUCAAUUUGUGAUUCAGUUACCUCAUGUUUUCUUUGAUUAAGAAAAACCUGAGCCUUCUGAGGUGGUAUGCAAGCCAUUUUCUAGAAUAGAUUGGUUUUUUUUUUAAUCUGUAGUUAAUCAGGGACUUAUUUUCCCUCCCUUUAUUUAGAAGAUAUAAUAGAAAGGUAUGUAUAUAUAGAAAAGACUUUUGAUUUGGUAAAUAAAAUUCUAGGGUUAAAAUUUAAAACUCUAACCCAAAUUAUGAAAUGAAAACACUCGAACAUAGUACCAGUUCUUUUUACAUAAAAUUAGUGUGCAAUUGGUAUAGAGACAUACUUUCAGACCACCCUGGAAAGAGUCUCUUUUAUAUGUGUAUGAAGGAUGAAUUCAAACAUUGAUCAGGGACCUUGACAACUAUCAUGUGAAUGGGCCCACAGUAGUAAUCAGGUUAAAGUGAUUUUCCACUGAGAUGGUUGAAAGAAUGUACAGAUCAACAGCUCCGAUUCUGGGAGGUUCUCCGUGAAGUAAAACAACCCAGACUGUUAAAAAGCUAAAGGUCAGGUGAGAAGGCAAGGGGAAGACUACACUCUGAAGGGACGAUGCAUGAAAAUGCACACUUGGCACCCUUCUAGCUUUUUUACAUUGUGUUUCUUCCCACUAUAAUUUAAGAUUUAAGGUUGAGAUUUGUAGUCUAGACCCCUCAGCAGGUAGAGUGGAUACAGUGACUGGUCAGAAAGUGCAGUUGCAGGUCUGUCAUGCUCAAUCACUUAACGCUAUAAUGUGUUUCCUGCGAAUAUCAAGCAUGUAGACCAAGUGCAGCAUGGGAGCCACUCAGGAAGUUUAUGAAAUUAAACUUUCAUGCAUAAUUUACCAUGAAAUAUGUAGAUUUCAGCCAAUUCUCAAUACUUAACAUUUAGUUAUAUAUGUGAACUCUCCUUUCUUAAUUCGGGAAUGUAGCAUUAUAUAGAAUGCUGUUAAACUUAAUUUUAACCCUUUUUAACUUUUUUUUUUUUUUGGUAAGCCAAGUGAUCUACCUUUCAGCAGUUGUCUGGUUUUGAUUCGUCGAAACUGUGAUUUUUAUUUUAAUUACUAUCCAACUGUUGUUAAAUAUUUUGUUUCCUGGAAUUUUGUUUUGAAAUAAAAAUAAAGGCUGUGUUAAAUGAGUAUGUCACCUUAUUAAAAUUCUGUCAUAUUUACU